GGCGCUGCCUAUACAUGCAGUCGUACGCUUCUUUUUCCACCGGAGCUUGCUCCACCGGAAAAAGAAGAGUGGCGAACGGGUGAGUAACACGUGGGUAACCUGCCCAUCAGAAGGGGAUAACACUUGGAAACAGGUGCUAAUACCGUAUAACAAUCGAAACCGCAUGGUUUUGAUUUGAAAGGCGCUUUCGGGUGUCGCUGAUGGAUGGACCCGCGGUGCAUUAGCUAGUUGGUGAGGUAACGGCUCACCAAGGCCACGAUGCAUAGCCAACCUGAGAGGGUGAUCGGCCACAUUGGGACUGAGACACGGCCCAAACUCCUACGGGAGGCAGCAGUAGGGAAUCUUCGGCAAUGGACGAAAGUCUGACCGAGCAACGCCGCGUGAGUGAAGAAGGUUUUCGGAUCGUAAAACUCUGUUGUUAGAGAAGAACAAGGAUGAGAGUAACUGUUCAUCCCUUGACGGUAUCUAACCAGAAAGCCACGGCUAACUACGUGCCAGCAGCCGCGGUAAUACGUAGGUGGCAAGCGUUGUCCGGAUUUAUUGGGCGUAAAGCGAGCGCAGGCGGUUUCUUAAGUCUGAUGUGAAAGCCCCCGGCUCAACCGGGGAGGGUCAUUGGAAACUGGGAGACUUGAGUGCAGAAGAGGAGAGUGGAAUUCCAUGUGUAGCGGUGAAAUGCGUAGAUAUAUGGAGGAACACCAGUGGCGAAAGCGGCUCUCUGGUCUGUAACUGACGCUGAGGCUCGAAAGCGUGGGGAGCAAACAGGAUUAGAUACCCUGGUAGUCCACGCCGUAAACGAUGAGUGCUAAGUGUUGGAAGGGUUUCCGCCCUUCAGUGCUGCAGCUAACGCAUUAAGCACUCCGCCUGGGGGAGUACGACCGCAAGGUUGAAACUCAAAGGAAUUGACGGGGGCCCGCACAAGCGGUGGAGCAUGUGGUUUAAUUCGAAGCAACGCGAAGAACCUUACCAGGUCUUGACAUCCUUUGACCACUCUAGAGAUAGAGCUUCCCCUUCGGGGGCAAAAUGACAGGUGGUGGCAGGGUUGUCCUCACCUCCCGUCCUGAGAAGAUUUGGGUUAAUUCCCGCACCAAGGGGAACCCCUUAUUGUUAGUUGCCACCACUCCAUUUGGGGACCCUUCCAAAAAAGGCCGUGGAAAACCCGAGGAAGAGGGGGGGGGUGCGGU
rnacentral:rRNA from 1 species